GCGUCUUGGGGCGGCUGUUGGCAGUCGUGUUCACAGUCCUGUUUGCAGUCUUCCUCUCACAGAAUCACAGAAUGACCCGGGUUGGAAGGGACCUCAAGGAUCAUGUAGUUCCAGCCCCCCUGCCUGGCAGGGCCACCAAACAUACAUUCUCGCCUGUCUCCAUUACUGAUGAAGUACCAUCUGGGGUUUUCCUGGUCUUGGAAGUGUUUGACCGCUUGGGGGAGAGGAAGCUGAUUGCUUCCUGAGAAUUCCAAAUUUAAAAGCCAUCUGUUAUCCCCCCAAAAAGAAGAAGCUGAAGUCUGCCCCUGUGUUUCCCGUGAUGUUUGCAGGAGGGCUACAGGCACACCAGCUCUAGACCUGUUCCCACUGCCAUACCUGUUGCCAUUGUUCUGUAAACUUAAAAUUGCACUUUUUCACACAAGAUGACUUAGUUACACAGAUGUGCUGGUAGCAUAAACUUCAUCUUAGUUACAUUUCACAUUAGAAUCAUGCAAUGCUACAACAUCCUUGGAAGAUUUGGAAGGGACCUACAAGGCCCAACUCCUGGCUCCACGCAGCACCAUGCAAAAUUUAAACCCUGUCUCUAAGUAUAGUGUCUGGAUGCUCCUUAAGCUCCAGCAGCUCAGGGCCGUGCAGUCCACUGCCCUCUGGUGCAGCCCCUUUCCCUGACCCCCCCUCCCCUGGCACAGCUCCGUGCCGUUCCCUGGGGCCCUGUCGCUGUCACACAGAGCAGAACUCAGCGCUGCCCUACGCUCCCUAUGAGGAGCUGCAGCUGCCAUGAGGCCUCCCCUCAGCUCCUCUGCUCUGUGCUGAGUGCAUGGAGGGGCAUCAGCUGCUCCUCACAUAUCUUGCCCUCCAGACUCCUCACUGUCUUCAUAGAUGUCCCUUGAACUCUCUCUAAUCAUUUGUAUUGUGGCACCCAAACCCACACCCAGUGCUGGAGGUGAGGCUGCACCAAUGCAGAGCAGAUCUGGACAACCCCUUCCCUCACUCAGCUGGUGCACUCCAGGGAGCAGUUGGCCUAUAUCUUACUUACAUUUCACAUGGGAGUUUAAAAGCUCUGGUGGCUUUUAAAGGGCCUUCCUUGAAUGACACUCCUUAAACCAAGACAUAGCAACUGCUUAUUCUUGUCAGAAACACUUUUGUUAUCAACGUAUUAAAUCAUCAAAGCUUCUAACAGCUUAAAACAUCCCAAGAGGUUUCUUUCUAAGCACCAACCCUGCCUGACAUAUAUUUAGAUACAUUAAAGAAGCAUUAAUAGCCACACAGCUGACUCAGCGGUGCUGGGGUCCUGCACUGUACCACACACGGUCUGCAGAGAGGCUUGAGUGACUUUUUUGAGCUUCUCAUCAUUCUCUUUCACCAUUCUUCAUUUCCUAAUACUUAAUUAGCCUAACACAUCUCAAUGAAACUGAAAAGCCAGAAUGAGGUCCUGCUCAUGAGCAGAAAUUUAUAUAUCUGAAUGUUCCUGUUAAAAUCAAUUUUCAAAAGGAUAUGUUCAUAUGGACAAAGUUCGGUUCAGAGGUAAUUUCAUGGUGGUGCUUUUUCAUGUCUCUGAUAUUAGGCGAAUAAGAUCUUCAGUAUAAUUGACAGAAGAACAUUUAGAACAGAGUUAUAACUGAAGCUUUAGCUUUGCUGGAGCUGUUAAAAAAUAGAAAGCUAAAAUUUCUGCAAUAUUAUAAAAAAAUUGUGUCCAAAAGUUACAGAACCUUUUCUCUGCAAAAUACAGUUUUCAGCUGUGGUUCUAGUGAGUCAAGUGAUAGAUAAAACUGAAGAAGGUUAAGAACUUUUUUUUUGGUCCUUAAGCUAGCAAUUGCCACACAAUCUUUUUAUUUAAAAUACAGAAUAAACAUUUAUUUAAAUGUUUGGACCCCUGGGUGUACCCUUACAGCAUAUGCAAUGACAUACUUUGCAUUUGUUUGGUGGCCUGCAUUCAGCAACAUCUUAGCUGACUCUUUUCAGCGGGGUAAAAUAGAAUUUCUAGCAAGCUCGCCUCUUUCUUGUCUUUGAAGGCCAGCUUUCCCUAAACAAUGUUUGAGAUAUUUCAGGUUUUAAACAGCAGGAAAUAUGACUCAAGCCUUCUUUGUUCUGAUUUGUUUUUCUGCUGAGAAGAACAGAGAGCCGAUCAAGGAGCACUACAAGUGUCAGGCAGACGGUUGGGUGCCUUUGACGCAGUGGGAAGUCACCAGUUGUGUUCAGUCAGAUCUGCUACUCUGCGGGAGAACAUGAAUAUAUGUAGCUGUGGAGCUAUCAGGAUACUAGAGGCCUGAAGGCAUGGAAGUUACUUCACCAGCCUUACUAAGUGGAGGAGAGAUCAGGUGUGGGACUGGUGAAGCGUUUGGCCAACAACCUCAGGAGGAAAUAUGAAGACUGCCCUAGUAAAUACCUGUGCCUAAAGCCUGGGCCAAAACAGGGCAAUUCCCCAUAUUCACUGACUUAGGUGGUUAAUUCCACAGACUAAUGUUUUACUUUUCUCCUUCACAUGAGGUUUUGUGUUUAAAGCUGAAAAUGUUUCAUUUCCAUACACCCAAUGGCAUAACUUCAACAUCUCUCCCAGUAACUACAGCUGUUGGCAGCCAGUGUCUGCUCAGGAUAUUGUCCCAUGCAAUUCACAACACUGCUUUCAAAACAGAUCAUGUCUGUCUGUCUAUCCGUCAAUCUAUCCAUCUGUUUACUUCUGUGGGUGUACUUAAAAUACGCAGCUGCUUCCACAGAGGAGUUACUGCAGUGUUUCUUUAUGGAACCUGCUCCUCAACAAUUCUUUGUACAUCUACAUCCCUUCUUGCAGAGGUUGUAGUUAAAUGAACGCUGUUACCUUGCCUCUCUCUUUGUGUCCUUCGAAAGUUUUGAGCCCAUUGGUAGAUUACAACACAUGUAUCACAGGAAAAGCAUCUCAAAGGCAGUAAAAUUACUAGUAGAGAAACUAAAAUAAAACUAGGAAAUAUAAAUAAAAUAAAUAAAAUAAAACUAGGAAAAACUAAGUACCUCAGUUAGAAAAAUUAUUCUGGCAUGAACUAAAUACCGAAGAAUCCUUGCAUAGGAACAGUUAUACCUGUGCCCAUAAGAAGGAUGUAGGAGACAGGGAGCAUCUAAAUAACUAAAUACAAGAAAAUCUUCCAUCAAGAAUUUUAAAUGCACCAAGAGACAUAAAGAUGACCACAUCUUAUUAACUCUGUUGCUCGCAAAAUUAUUUUCUUUAAUUCUGUAGCUGUAUAUUUUCUUAAGUAAUCUUUUGUCACUUUGGGUUCCAACCCACAGCAUGAAGAGGAGCUGGCAGAUCAUGACCUUUGGUGUCACCUUCUGCAUGCAUCCCUGUUAGCCUGCAGAAAUGAGAUCGUGAUAGCUGUCAAGUCUGAAAAGACUGGAUAAGAACUCUUGAAAUUAGAACAUUAAAGGAAAGCUGUGCUCUCAGGAAGAAAGAUGAUUUGCCAGAGGAACAGAACACUGCACAGUACUGUCCUUUAGAGGAUGGCAAAGUAUUUGGAAGCAGAACAAGUGCUACCCAAAGUCAUGGAGAGUAGGAUAACCCAACAAAUGAGCUAACAAGACUCAAUCAACCUCAUGGAUGAAGUCAAAUGUAUUCUUGGAAAGGGAAAUAAUGGAAUAUAUGGGUAGGAAGGACCUCUGAAGUUCCAGCCCUCUUCUCAAGGAGUAGGUCAGCUUGUUCAAGGCACGACUUCUCUUGUUCUAAGGCUAUCUUUGGUCACUCUCGUUAUGAAAACAUUUUUUAAUUACAUUUCCUAUAUCACAUGUGUCUGUUGUGUUUCCUGACAGCAUUGUGCACCUUCAGGAAGGCUCUGGCUUAUCUGCACCUUUCCUAUGCCUUACCCUCAGGUAAAUGAAGGUGGCAAUUAGAUUUCCCAUACAACUUUCUUCAUGAGGUCCAACAAACCCAAUUGAAUAUCCAAUGCUCCAGCACCAUGGCCCCUCCUUGGCCUUGUCUGGACUAAUUUUGUGAACAGCCAUGUCUUUCUUGUAGCAAGGAGCUCCAGCUCCAAAACCAGUAUUUCAUAUGGUGUUACAAUGCCUGAACAGAAAGAAAGAAUCAUUAAAUACUGGAAAAUUGUUCUGAAACUGCCCUGCUGGCUACACUCAUGAUAACAGAGACCAGCCAAGAGGUGGUUGGCUUCUAAUGGCACCAAGAAUGCAUUGCUGACUGCCACUCAUACCCAGCUCAGUAUUCUGUAAAGCUCUGGUCCUUCCCUGAAAAUGCACGUUGUGAAAUUAUUCUGAGCUCACUGAAGCUGUUGUGUGGAGCCACUGGCUACUGCCAUGAGUGUUCUUCUGUGCUGAUUGCACUCUUCAACUUACAGCUGUGCAGCUGCCCAGCAGCUGAAGGAAAAGUGGGGUGAAAGCACAAACCAAAGCUUUCUUGCUACUAGAAAUACAACACAUCAGCCAAGCCCAGAAGAGUUAUAUACAACAUGGUUUUAUUUUCAUUAUUAUUAAAGUUAAUGUCAACUUGAUAUUUAUCAUACACUUUUUUUCCUUCAUGCUGAGUUUCCUUAGUAGUGAAUCCCAGCAUUUUGGUAAAGCUGAAAUCUAAAUGAUAAAUAAUUUGCAUUCUGCCUUGGAAUUAGAAUGUUGUGUUUGUAUUUAUUUCACUUCCUCCAGGUCUGCUGGCCGAGGUGGAGCAAAUAGAUGUGCAGCCCCCUGGGUAAAGCAAUGCUGGUACUCUCCAAGCUGCGAGGAUCCAGGCCACUUGACAGCAGAAGGGCUAGUGAGAAUCCAGCCUUUCCCAGCUUGAGGAGCAUUGUUUGGUGGAAGAACUGAAAUGUACUUACAAGAAGGAUGGAAUUUGGAUAACACUAAGGCUCCCAACCCACAGGAGAUACAGGAUAAGAAGCAAAGAAUAUGGACCUGGCAAAGAGCAGAACCAAGAUCCUGAAUUUCAGGAGUGAAAUCCCAGCUCUUUGUGGAAUUGUUGAAUGAGAUCUUCUGGGAAACUUUUCUUAAGGUCAAAGGAGCAGAGCAGAGCUGGCAGCUCUUUAAGGACAUCUUUCUGAGAGCACAAGAGCUCUCCAUCCUCCAGCAUAAGAAAUCAAGCAGAAGAGGCAAGAAACCAACAUCUCUGAGCAAGGACUGCUGGUCAAACUGAGGAAAAAGAGGGCCAUGAAGAUGACCAGAGAGCUGGAAGGUAGGCUGAGAGAGCUGGAGUUGUUCAGCACAUAGAAAAAGCCCCGGGGAUACCACACUGCACCCUUCUGGUACUUAGAGGAAGGUUAUAAACAGGAAGGAGAGCAGCUUUUUACAUGGGGAAACAGUGAUAGGACAAUGGGAUAUAGUCUUAAAGUUAAAAAGGGGAGAUUCAGGUUAGUUAUUAGGAAAAAUUUUUUCCUUCAGAAGGUGGUGAAGCACUGGCACAGACUU